GACGAACGCUGGCGGCGUGCUUAACACAUGCAAGUCGAACGGAAAGGCCCUGCUUUUGUGGGGUGCUCGAGUGGCGAACGGGUGAGUAACACGUGAGUAACCUGCCCUUGACUUUGGGAUAACUUCAGGAAACUGGGGCUAAUACCGGAUAGGAGCUCCUGCUGCAUGGUGGGGGUUGGAAAGUUUCGGCGGUUGGGGAUGGACUCGCGGUUUAUCAGCUUGUUGGUGGGGUAGUGGCUUACCAAGGCUUUGACGGGUAGCCGGCCUGAGAGGGUGACCGGCAACAUUGGGACUGAGAUACGGCCCAGACUCCUACGGGAGGCAGCAGUGGGGAAUAUUGCACAAUGGGCGGAAGCCUGAUGCAGCAACGCCGCGUGCGGGAUGACGGCCUUCGGGUUGUAAACCGCUUUCGCCUGUGACGAAGCGUGAGUGACGGUAAUGGGUAAAGAAGCACCGGCUAACUACGUG
rnacentral:rRNA from 1 species